GCCCCUAUAGUUGAAAAACAACAGAAGCUUUUCACGCUUCAAGUCUGAGUUAGAACCUCAGUAGGAGCU
rnacentral:tRNA from 1 species